GAGUUUGAUCGUGGCUCAGAACGAACGCUGGCGGCAUGCCUAACACAUGCAAGUCGAACGGGAUCCGGACUUCGGUUCGGUGAGAGUGGCGGACGGGUGAGUAACGCGUGGGAACCUGCCCAGUGGUGGGGGAUAACUGCGGGAAACUGCAGCUAAUACCGCAUGAGCCCGAGAGGGGAAAGAUUUAUCGCCGAUGGAGGGGCCCGCGUCCGAUUAGGUAGUUGGUGAGGUAACGGCUCACCAAGCCGACGAUCGGUAGCUGGUCUGAGAGGAUGAUCAGCCACACUGGGACUGAGAUACGGCCCAGACUCCUACGGGAGGCGGCAGUGGGGAAUAUUGGACAAUGGGGGCAACCCUGAUCCAGCAAUGCCGCGUGAGUGAUGAAGGCCUUAGGUUGUAAAGCUCUUUUGGCGGGACGAUGAUGACGGUACCCGCAGAAUAAGCCCCGGCUAACUU
rnacentral:rRNA from 1 species